rnacentral:misc_RNA from 1 species
AAAGAAAUCUUUAAUCUCUUUUGAGAUUAAGGGAUAUGGGUAUUCCGCUAACAAUUUUGUGGCGGUAACCUGAAAUAGAUGGUAGUCUUCAUCUAGUCAAGACGCGUAAUAAUAUUAUUUCGUGAAACGAUUAAUGAGCUAUCCAGUUUUAAUGGCUUUAUUAAUAUAAGGACAUUGAAACAAAUAAUUUUUG